UUAGGUUUUAUAAAAACCUAGCAGCGCAACUUCCCCUCAUCGUCUCCUUCUCUUCAUCGUCUUCUCGCACAAAAAGUUCAUCUCCUCAUCGUCUUGUCACACUAAAAAUUUGGGGGCAGUGUCUUCAACGCCGCCGCCCUAAAGCUCUUCGCGGCCCAACUUCCCCUCUCCUUCUCCCCCGUCGCAGCCACUCCCUCACCCGUAGUUCACCUAUCCCCCUCCACCGCAUUGUCGAGUUCUUCAUCGGUCCUCAUCGCUCCACCACUCUUUUCCGGCCAUCUUCUUCUCUUCUCCCUUGCGUCUCGUCAUCCCGUCCUCAUCUCUAGGGCAUAAAGAAUUCAAGGAGCUUUCCAAAUAGCCGAGGAUUUCAUCCCUCUUUCGAAGUUUGUGUCUUUGAUCUUUAAUUCUUCUCAUCCAGGUUUUCAAAGAAAAGAAACAAACUAACAAACAUGUAAGAGAGAGUUUUGUCUAUGGAGCUUGUGGACAGGUGUGUCCUAUUCCGCUCUUCAAGUUUAUUGGUCGCUCCAGAGUAGUUUGUCUUCUCUUGUCAUGACAGAAAGCAUUUGAGUUUUGUCUGUGGAGCACUUGACUGCAGUGCUCAUAUUAGGUGUUACCUGCUUUUGUGUUUCUUGUGCUUAGCCCAACAUUUUUCCUGUAAGAGAUAUCAGUGCGCAUGGUUGGAUUUGAUAGUUUUAUAUAUAUCUUUCUAGAUAAUUAGAAUGAA